GUGUGUGUGUGCGUGUGUAAAUAUGCAGCGUGGCCUCCAGUUCCAUGUGUUGUUUUCGUUUUUUUUUCUUAGAAAGGAUGUUUUCAUGUCUUAGGACAACACAAUUACCAACUGGUCUGAGCCAAUACGUGGGGUUUUUUCCCUAGCAGACAGCCUAACAAACUCUGUGCAAUAUUAACCAUGCAGAAAGGUCAGCCAAGCACUUGCAGACAUCCAGAUCUCCCUUGUUGCUCCUUGAGUUCAAAGUGUGGCUCCAUUGUGUCCAUGUUGCUGAGCAAGCACACUUUCAAUUGUGCCCCAGCAGGCCAGGAGCAGUUUCCUGAGGAUCACAAAUGAAAGUCAGAAAAUGUGAUUUUUCAAAGUGAGGAUGGUGUCUCCAAAAAAACCUGAGCAAAAUUUCACACCAUGGGGAGAGAAUGAUUCCCAAAGCUACGGGCAUCCUCCAGAUCCAUCUCACAGCCAUCAGUGCAGUCAGCACUGGAAGACCUCAAGGGGGAAGAAGGGAAAGUCAAGAUGUCAUCAAUGUGAAUGUGAAAGCUUUGGACAGGGAUGAAAGGCACUACAAUAAUACAAGUUGUUGCAGUGGUUAUCAGUAGCUUCCAACAGAGAUUUGUCUUCAGAGGGCAAGACCCUAAUGAUGCUACAGAAAGGAUCUCAUUAAAUAUCCAAGUUAAGAAGACUAGUUCAAAAACAAGAUGGAUAAGGCACAGUGUUCUUUAAAUGACUGCUGAACAUUUUUGAGGAUUAGCCUUCCUUGCUGGUAAAUGUACAUUAAACCGAAAGUUAUUAUUAAGGUGAUUUUAUCUUAGUGAGUUUGUCAUCCAAAUGGGAUUUUAUAGGAUAUGUUGGGAAUUUUCCAACAGAAACUAUUUUUGGAAAAAUGCAGCUUUAUCAAAACCACAGGGUUUUUUUAUGGAAAUGUACAUGCCAGCUUUGACACAGAUGGAAUUUUCACAUCAGAAAAUCAAAGUAGAGAAGCCUAAGUCAUAACAGCCUUCUAGCUUGGCUCAUUUAUCUAGCUAUGGGGAAGACUGAGAUUUCUGGAUGUGCAUGACUCUGCCUGAAGAUCUGUUUUCUACCCUCGAGGAAAGUACUCCUUUCACCCAGCUGUGCUGGGAUGAGUUGUUUUUCAUCUAGAAGCAAGAGAGUGAGAAAAUGAGGUUUGCUUUGCAGCCCAGUGGUCAUGACUCACAUGUGCAGUGUCAUUGCCAGAGAUGCAAUGUGACGAUAGCACCAACACACAAGAAAAGAAACCAAAGGGCAUUCAUGUCUCUGGUCAGAUAACAGCAGAGAAGAUUCAGUGAUCUGCCUUCUCCCAUUUUAGUUCCAAUUGCAUCUUGUGACUGCAGACAGACACAGUAUGCAUGGAAAAUACACUUGGCAGCAGACACCGUCAGAACAUGGUAUUCCAGUGAUAUAAAGGACUACAAAAGGAGAAGACACUCAAGAAGGGACAAGUAUUUCAUCUUUCCAAGGGAGUGACUGAUGACGAAAGCUUAGAUACAUUCUAGAGAAACACUCUGUGAUCGGUAAAAAUAAGAGGCUUUUGCUUCCACAUAUCUUAUCUCUUGGCAGGAAUUCAGCCAUUUCAGAUUUUCUCCAGGUAUCUAGAAUUGCUAAGUAAGCAUGCCACUGCAAUAAAAGAACAUGCUGUAGCAAGAUAAUAAAUGUGACUUGCUUAACAACUGUGUUAUCUUGUAUGGCCAGGCACAAGAGUAGAUAGCAUAAUCUAAGCAUACAUGUGCCUUUUGCAAAGAGUAUAACAAACUGUAAGUCAAACUCUUUGAAUUAUCAUCCACCCAUUUGCAAUGUAGCCACCCCCCUUGAAAAAUACAUAUAGACAGAAAUUAAAUAUGAAAAUUGUAAUGGAAUUUAUGACAAAACAUGAAGCCUCAUACCUAGUGGAGAAGAGUCACCCACACUUUCUUUCUGUGCUGCAAAAAUACCUUUUGCAAUUAUACUGCCAUGAAUGGACUUCUGCCAAUUUAAUGCUUUGUUUCCCACUACAAGCUGUCAUGACAGGUGUGAUUUUUGUACCUUGUAUUGUGGGAACACCUGACCUUCACAUUAAUGUCUUCAUACCGAUAACAGCUAAAAGCCCUUCCCCACUGCAAUACUUCACAUUCUUUUGUCUGCUUGGUUUCUGUCUGAUUAAAAGUCCAGGGUUCAUUUUGAAGCAAAGCAAGAACAUUUUCAAGUAUUUCCAAUCAAGCUUUCAUUUGUUAAACAUGAAAGUGUUUGCAGACAUACUAAGUUGUUUGUACCAGAUAUAGCUAUAGAUAAUGAUGUUAAUCUUUUUUCUGGUCAUACUUUAUAUUUAAAAUACAAUUACAAAUGGCUUUAAGUAGAUUAGAAUUAUUACUUUAGAAUCAAAAUCCUACCAUGAGGCCUGAUAGGUUGCUUUGAAAACAUUGUUUGCUAUCUUCCAGAAUACAUACAGUAUACCAAUUUUCUGUAGCUAUGUAACAUGUUUAUAGUAUUUAUUAAUCAUUAACUAGCCUCUUAUAAUCUUAUUUUCAUUCUUUAUACUAAGCCUUUAAGACUUGGUGCAAAGAAUAAUAUUUCUCUAUUCUUUACCAUCCCUUUUUAUCAGAUACUAGUCUUCUGAGAAUUUUUAACUGGUGCAUCUUCUUUAUGAAUGGAAUGCACACCACCAAUUUAAAACACAGAUUAUGGAUUUUUAGUUCUCACUUAAAGGAAGGAGUUAAAUGAUACUCAAAUCUUGAACUGAGCCUUGGCCCAGGACUGUAUUUGACCCCAGAGACUUCAUCACUAAUGCAAACUCACCAACCAGUUACAGUCAGAGUGGCAGAGGUUUUUGAAACCACUUGUGCUUUGCCUUAUCUUAUGAUUGUAAGGUGUAGAUGACCUCUUAGGUGACAUCCAGGUCAAACUGGAAUUUCAUCCCCAGUGUCAUUUCCUAGAUGGAAUGAGCUGGAACCAAAUCUCAAGCUCCAUUCACCUGCUGGACCUGUACAGGUGUCCCAUAAUGUCCUGCUCAGUGUAUUGGUGUGGGAUGUAUCCAGCAACAACUUUCUCUUGGGCACUUCUGGUCCCCUGCUGAACAGUGACUACAACAGUAGUCUAAGAAUACUGCUCGAACUACUGGAAUGAGAAUAUCAAUUUCAUUUCUAUCUGGGUAUUAAUCACUACUGAUUAAAAUCCUUGUUUUAAAAGGAAAACAAGAUUUCUCUGCUUGGAGGGCAUGUAUAUGCUGUAUUUGCUUCUUUUUACUUUUUAUUCUAUAAGAGUUCCAAUGCAAUAUUUCACCAAAAGGAAGAAGUUGGGAUUUUAUGUGAUCUCAUUUGCAUGCACAGUGUGCCUUGCCUUGUAAGAAUAUAUUUAACUUGCUUCUUUCCUUUGUUAGCAUGUUUUACUAUUAGAAGUGAUGGCUCAUAAAAAGAUUGGGGUUUUGUACUGCAGUCUUCAAUGUGGACAACCUGAAAAACAUGCUCCUGAAGUUUAUUUUUUCACCCUUCAAAAAUUGUUUUGGUUUUUAUAUGUGAGCAUGUCUAGAAGAGUCAUGUAACUACCACUGAAUGGCCCAAUUGGGGAAACUAUAUUCUCCAGAUGCAAUAAAAGUUACUUUAUUUUAUUUCCUGUUUUCUGGGGAGGAAAUGACUUCUAAAAGUCUCCUAUGAUUUUGCAAGAAAUAAAAGAAGAUAAUUUAGUUCCUUCAAAUUAUACAUUUCUACAGCAUUCCUUUUAAUAAAAAUAUGCCAUUUUCAGAAGAAGUAAAAGAGGGAUUUUCUAAUUGCAAUGUUUUCAUUUAAUUAGAUUUAAUCAGAUAUUUUGUAGCACACUGAAUGUGUACAUAUGGGCGUUCGAUAAAAUUCUUAUUACUCUCAUGUCUCUUGAAGAUACUUAUAAACACUGAAUGACAGACUACAUUUCACCAAAUUUACUACAAUAUUUUUUAAUUAGAGGCAGAUUUCAGUUUAGUCAUGAUAAAAAGCUCAAUUUUAAUUCCAUGUAACCAUUUGGAAAACUUUGGUACUGCUGUAAAAAUGUAGAGGAAUUUUCAAACUUUUAGUUUGGUUAACUCUACAGUGCAUAGUAUUGAUAGCAACAGUAAAAAUGUCCUGUGUGCUAAAACUAGACCUAAAGAGAUAAUGUAAUUAUUAAAUAGCUUCAAGUACAUUGAAAUACAUUUGAAUUUCUUGAUGAAAUAUUCUGGUACUUUCUAAAAAUGUGCCUUGCAA